UUUGUGACUCAAUCCUGAUGAAACUUGGUCAGGAUGUAUAUCUUGGUAAUAUUUUGUCCAAAUAAUAGGCCAGCAAAUUUGGGUAACGUGCAACCAAAAACCAGGUCACAAAGACUAAUCAUGGCGCUUUUCAAGAUAUUGCUCAGACAGAACAGAUAGUAAAAAGGCAGCCAUUAUUUGUGGCUAUUAAUUUGCUGUUUACAAUAAGGUUAUUCCAUGUUCCUUGUAUUGCUUUAAUGCCUUUUACGUUACUGGGACUUGGUUAUUAGCUCAAUUUUUCUUAGCUUUAUAUUAUUAUAUUUUGCUCAUUAUGUUAUGUCAAAUUUACGUCAGUUUUUUUGCAUUUUAAUCCGUUUAUAUACUCUUGUAGAAAAAAUCUUAGAAAAAAAAUGUUUUGCUAUGUUUGUUUUUUAAAAUAGCUUAUUAGCAAAUUGUUUAUAUUGAAACGUUUGAAAAUAUCACAAUAUUGCAACUUUCUAAACUGGGACUAAAUUAAGAUAAAAACUUAUACUGUCACAAGUAGUGAAAUAUGUGUUAUUAUCCUAGCAUGACAUGGUUUUUACAUGAAAUGUAGUACAUUUUUUUGACCAUGUUACAGAUAUACUGUAUAUAUGUUAAAACGUUUGCUAAGAACUGUUUACUUGAUCAGACCCUUUUGUGAGAGAUUUUUGAUGAACAGUCAAUUUUAGACGUUAAAUUUAAAUAAGAUCUUCUGUGUAUAAUUAAUUUAAGCUUUCAUCAAUGCUUACAUUACAAAACAUUCCAUUACAGUUACUUAUUUGAUUAUACUUUUAUUACUGUUUUUUAUAAUUGUCCUUUGCAAGCUAUAAUCUUGUUUCUUCUCUUGUAUUUUACAACAAAGAGCAGGCUUUAGAUGAGAAAAAAAGACAACUAAACAGUUUUAGAUACUUUGUACCAACAAUUAAUAAGAUCUUCACUAUUUUGGUUUCUUGCCAAAAAUACACAUUUAUGGCGAAUGAAUACUUUACACUCAUUUGGUAUUUGUUUGCACUUGUUUUGCUUUCUAUAUAAAUAUGUUUGGAAAAUACAAAGUUAGCGUGGAAAAUAAAAGUGUUAAGAAUG